rnacentral:rRNA from 1 species
GAGUUUGAUCCUGGCUCAGAUUGAACGCUGGCGGCAGGCCUAACACAUGCAAGUCGAACGGUAACAGGAAACAGCUUGCUGUUUCGCUGACGAGUGGCGGACGGGUGAGUAAUGUCUGGGAAACUGCCUGAUGGAGGGGGAUAACUACUGGAAACGGUAGCUAAUACCGCAUAACGUCGCAAGACCAAAGAGGGGGACCUUCGGGCCUCUUGCCAUCGGAUGUGCCCAGAUGGGAUUAGCUAGUAGGUGGGGUAACGGCUCACCUAGGCGACGAUCCCUAGCUGGUCUGAGAGGAUGACCAGCCACACUGGAACUGAGACACGGUCCAGACUCCUACGGGAGGCAGCAGUGGGGAAUAUUGCACAAUGGGCGCAAGCCUGAUGCAGCCAUGCCGCGUGUAUGAAGAAGGCCUUCGGGUUGUAAAGUACUUUCAGCGGGGAGGAAGGGAGUAAAGUUAAUACCUUUGCUCAUUGACGUUACCCGCAGAAGAAGCACCGGCUAACUCCGUGCCAGCAGCCGCGGUAAUACGGAGGGUGCAAGCGUUAAUCGGAAUUACUGGGCGUAAAGCGCACGCAGGCGGUUUGUUAAGUCAGAUGUGAAAUCCCCGGGCUCAACCUGGGAACUGCAUCUGAUACUGGCAAGCUUGAGUCUCGUAGAGGGGGGGAGAAUUCCAGGUGUAGCGGUGAAAUGCGUAGA